AAUAAGAUGCCUGAUUUAAAGGGUUAUUUUGAUAGAGUAAAUUAUGUAUAAUUAAAUAUACUCUUAUUG
rnacentral:tRNA from 1 species